rnacentral:rRNA from 2 species
UGGUGGGUAGUUUGACUGGGGCGGUCUCCUCCUAAAGAGUAACGGAGGAGCACGAAGGUUGGCUAAUCCUGGUCGGACAUCAGGAGGUUAGUGCAAUGGCAUAAGCCAGCUUGACUGCGAGCGUGACGGCGCGAGCAGGUGCGAAAGCAGGUCAUAGUGAUCCGGUGGUUCUGAAUGGAAGGGCCAUCGCUCAACGGAUAAAAGGUACUCCGGGGAUAACAGGCUGAUACCGCCCAAGAGUUCAUAUCGACGGCGGUGUUUGGCACCUCGAUGUCGGCUCAUCACAUCCUGGGGCUGAAGUAGGUCCCAAGGGUAUGGCUGUUCGCCAUUUAAAGUGGUACGCGAGCUGGGUUUAGAACGUCGUGAGACAGUUCGGUCCCUAUCUGCCGUGGGCGCUGGAGAACUGAGGGGGGCUGCUCCUAGUACGAGAGGACCGGAGUGGACGCAUCACUGGUGUUCGGGUUGUCAUGCCAAUGGCACUGCCCGGUAGCUAAAUGCGGAAGAGAUAAGUGCUGAAAGCAUCUAAGCACGAAACUUGCCCCGAGAUGAGUUCUCCCUGACCCUUUAAGGGUCCUGAAGGAACGUUGAAGACGACGACGUUGAUAGGCCGGGUGUGUAAGCGCAGCGAUGCGUUGAGCUAACCGGUACUAAUGAACCGUGAGGCUUAACCUUACAACGCCGAAGCUGUU